GUGGUAAUUCUAGAGCUAAUACAUGCUAAAAACCCCGACUUCAGGAAGGGGUGUAUUUAUUAGAUAAAAAACCAACGCCCUUCGGGGCUCCUUGGUGAAUCAUAAUAACUUAACGAAUCGCAUGGCCUUGCGCCGGCGAUGGUUCAUUCAAAUUUCUGCCCUAUCAACUUUCGAUGGUAGGAUAGUGGCCUACCAUGGUGGCAACGGGUAACGGGGAAUUAGGGUUCGAUUCCGGAGAGGGAGCCUGAGAAACGGCUACCACAUCCAAGGAAGGCAGCAGGCGCGCAAAUUACCCAAUCCCGAUACGGGGAGGUAGUGACAAUAAAUACUGAUACGGGGCUCUUUUGGGUCUCGUAAUUGGAAUGAGAACAAUUUAAAUCCCUUAACGAGGAACAAUUGGAGGGCAAGUCUGGUGCCAGCAGCCGCGGUAAUUCCAGCUCCAAUAGCGUAUAUUAAAGUUGUUGCAGUUAAAAAGCUCGUAGUUGAACCUUGGGUCUGGCUGGCCGGUCCGCCUCACCGCGAGUACUGGUCCGGCUGGACCUUUCCUUCUGGGGAACCUCAUGGCCUUCACUGGCUGUGGGGGGAACCAGGACUUUUACU
rnacentral:rRNA from 1 species